UCUUGGUCAAUUAGAGGAAGUAAAAGUCGUAACAAGGUCUCCGUAGGUGAACCUGCGGAGGGAUCAUUACACAAAUAUGAAGGCGGGCUGGAACCUCUCGGGGUUACAGCCUUGCUGAAUUAUUCACCCUUGUCUUUUGCGUACUUCUUGUUUCCUUGGUGGGUUCGCCCACCACUAGGACAAACAUAAACCUUUUGUAAUUGCAAUCAGCGUCAGUAACAAAUUAAUAAUUACAACUUUCAACAACGGAUCUCUUGGUUCUGGCAUCGAUGAAGAACGCAGCGAAAUGCGAUAAGUAGUGUGAAUUGCAGAAUUCAGUGAAUCAUCGAAUCUUUGAACGCACAUUGCGCCCUUUGGUAUUCCAAAGGGCAUGCCUGUUCGAGCGUCAUUUGUACCCUCAAGCUUUGCUUGGUGUUGGGCGUCUUGUCUCUAGCUUUGCUGGAGACUCGCCUUAAAGUAAUUGGCAGCCGGCCUACUGGUUUCGGAGCGCAGCACAAGUCGCACUCUCUAUCAGCAAAGGUCUAGCAUCCAUUAAGCCUUUUUUUCAACUUUUGACCUCGGAUCAGGUAGGGAUACCCGCUGAACUUAAGCAUAUCAAUAAAGCGGAGGA
rnacentral:rRNA from 1 species